GACGAACGCUGGCGGCGUGCUUAACACAUGCAAGUCGAACGGAAAGGCCCUGCUUUUGUGGGGUGCUCGAGUGGCGAACGGGUGAGUAACACGUGAGUAACCUGCCCUUGACUUUGGGAUAACUUCAGGAAACUGGGGCUAAUACCGGAUAGGAGCUCCUGCUGCAUGGUGGGGGUUGGAAAGUUUCGGCGGUUGGGGAUGGACUCGCGGCUUAUCAGCUUGUUGGUGGGGUAGUGGCUUACCAAGGCUUUGACGGGUAGCCGGCCUGAGAGGGUGACCGGCCACAUUGGGACUGAGAUACGGCCCAGACUCCUACGGGAGGCAGCGGUGGGGAAUAUUGCACAAUGGGCGGAAGCCUGAUGCAGCAACGCCGCGUGCGGGAUGACGGCCUUCGGGUUGUAACCGCUUUCGCCUGUGACGAAGCGUGAGUGACGGUAAUGGGUAAAGAAGCACCGGCUAACUACGUG
rnacentral:rRNA from 1 species